UUUUUUUUUUUUUUUUUUUUUUUUUUUUUUUUUUUUUUUUUUCAUGC
rnacentral:ribozyme from 1 species